GGUAUUGUAAUAGGGUAGAGGGUAUUGUAAUAGGGUAGAGGGUAUUGUAAUAGGGUAGAGGGUAUUGUAAUAGGGUAGAGGGUAUUGUAAUAGGGUAGAGGGUAUUGUAAUGUAAUAGGAAGAGGGUAUUGUAAUAGGGUAGAGAGUAUUGUAAUAGGGUGAGGGGUAUUGUAAUGUAAUAGGAAGAGGGUAUUGUAAUAGGGUAGAGGGUAUUGUAAUAGGGUAGAGGGUAAUGUAAUAGGGUAGAGGGUAUUGUAAUGUAAUAGGAAGAGGGUAUUGUAAUAGGGUAGAGAGUAUUGUAAUAGGGUAGAGGGUAUUGUAAUGUAAUAGGAAGAGGGUAUUGUAAUAGGGUAGAGAGUAUUGUAAUAGGUAGAGGGUAUUGUAAUGUAAUAGGAAGAGGGUAUUGUAAUAGGGUAGAGGGUAUUGUAAUAGGGUAGAGAGUAUUGUAAUAGGGUAGAGGGUAUUGUAAUAGGGUAA